rnacentral:rRNA from 1 species
UGGGGAAUAUUGCACAAUGGGGGAAACCCUGAUGCAGCGACGCCGCGUGGGCGACGAAGCGCUCCGGCGCGUAAAGCCCUGUCAGCAGGGAAGAAAAAAGACAGUACCUGACCAAGAAGCCCCGGCUAACUACGUGCCAGCAGCCGCGGUAAUACGUAGGGGGCAAGCGUUAUCCGGAUUCACUGGGCGUAAAGGGAGCGCAGGCGGCACGGCAAGUCUGGUGUGAAAGCCCGGGGCCCAACCCCGGGACUGCAUUGGAAACUGCCGGGCUGGAGUGCCGGAGGGGUAAGCGGAAUUCCUGGU